rnacentral:rRNA from 1 species
UCUACGGGUGGCAGCAGUGGGGAAUAUUGGACAAUGGGCGAAAGCCUGAUCCAGCCAUGCCGCGUGUGUGAAGAAGGCCUUCGGGUUGUAAAGCACUUUCAGUGGGGAAGAAAGCCUUGGGGCUAAUACCCUCGAGGAAGGACAUCACCCACAGAAGAAGCACCGGCUAACUCCGUGCCAGCAGCCGCGGUAAUACGGAGGGUGCGAGCGUUAAUCGGAAUUACUGGGCGUAAAGCGCGCGUAGGCGGUCUGAUAAGCCGGUUGUGAAAGCCCCGGGCUCAACCUGGGAACGGCAUCCGGAACUGUCAGGCUAGAGUGCAGGAGAGGAAGGUAGAAUUCCCGGUGUAGCGGUGAAAUGCGUAGAGAUCGGGAGGAAUACCAGUGGCGAAGGCGGCCUUCUGGACUGACACUGACGCUGAGGUGCGAAAGCGUGGGUAGCAAACAGGAUUAGAUACCCCUGUAGUC